GGAGGAGCAAAUUAAAGAAAUCCCAACCAUAGGGCUUUUGUCUUCCUCAAGUUUCAAGGACAAGAGCACGUUUCAAAUGAUCAGUCUAAUAUUUGUCCACAGCAAAAUCGAGAAUCACCAGGGUCUGCAACCAUACAGAAGACCACUAAGCCUCCUCGGAAUCAUCUGAAGAGACAACACAACUUGGCUCGACUCAGAGACCCAUUGUUGACUUGCCAUGUCAGUGCAGACUUGACAAGCUGGGAGCAGCUCGGCACAAGGGGUCUUUGUGUCUUUUCUAGUGGCGCCUGGUCAAAGGACGGGGCCACAGCAAUGGGCAUUGCAUGCCGUAUCUCAAUGCUCAUGAGAACUAUGGAAAUAAGUGAAGCGCACUCAAAUGAGAACAAGGAGAGGUUCUUUAUUCAGAACUUUCCCUUGCAAAGGGGGUUGGCCACCAUCACUCGUGUUUGGCAGCAGCUCGAAGAGAGGGGGCAGAGCUUUCCAGUGGAAGAAGGAAUGGCCUCAGGUACACACUGAUUAGAGGCUGUCAGGAUGGGAACACUGCAGGUGGGCUACAUAGGAGUGAGGCAUCUUCUGGGAUUAGUUAGGGGUGCAUAUUUGAAUUUCUCUUGUUGGUUCUAAGUUGCAAGAAAGGGCAGAAAUUAGUUGUUAAUCAUGUCCGGCCCAUUUUUUUUU